AAUUUACCAUUGGAGAAAAAAAAAUUGAGUGAAGUAAAACAUUUCAGUAACUUAAAAAAAAAUCAAACGAGAUAAAGUGAGUAGUGGUGAGCGAAAGCUUUAAAAGGCAAAAAAUAAAAAAAAUUGAUUUUGAAUAUUCCAUAGAAGGUUAUAGUCCUGUAAAUUUAUAUUUUUUAUUUUAUUUAGAAACGAAUUAUGUUAUAUUUGUUUAUUAAGAAGAUCUUCCUUCGGGCCUUCAAUUUCUAAUGACCGAUAGCGAACAAGUACCGUGAGGGAAAGGUGAAAAAGAACUGCUUGCAGAGUUAAAAGUCCUAAAAUUUAGUGCAUAUUAUCUAUUAGAGUAUUAUUUUUAUAAUAAUAUUAUAAUGUACCUUUUGCAUAAUGGGCCAGUGAGUUUAUAAUUUUGGCAAGUUUAAAAAAUUUGUAGACAUAGAUAAAUCAAACGUUUGAUAAAAAAGCUAAAGUCAUAAUUAUAAAACCCGAAGCUAAGUGAUCUAACCAUGAGCAGGUUGAAAAAUUUAUGGUAACAUGAUUUGAAGGACUGAACCCGUAUCUGUUGAAAAAGGUUGGGAUGACUUGUGGUUAGGGGUGAAAGGCUAAUCAAACUUAGGAAUAGCUGGUUUUCUGCGAAAUAUAUUUUAGUAUAGCCUACAAUUAAAAUAAAAUGAGGUACAGCUCUUUUAAAGCAAUGGGAAUCAUUGAUUUUACUGCGUUUUAAAAAACUAUGAAUGCGUUUUAUUUAUUAAAAAUUUAUUUUUAAUAAGAUAUUGUAGAGUCAGACUUUCAGUGCAAAGGUUGAUAGUCAAGAGGGAAACAGCCCUGUUUAUUCAGUAAGGUCUUAAAUAUAAACUAAGUGUAAAGAAUAUAAAAAAACAAAGACAAUCAUAAAAUAGGCUUGGAAGCAGCCAUUUUUUUAAGAAAGCGUAACAGCUCAUUGAUUAAGUUUUUUUGUAUCGAAAAUUUAGUGAGUCUAAGUUUAUAACCGAAUUGGUAAUUUUGGUAGCAGAACGUUUUAUAUAUUUUUGAAGAUUAUUUGUUAAAAUAAUUUGAGAUAUUAAAAGUGAGUAUACUGGCAUUAGUAGCUAAAAACAAUGAAUUAACAUUGUCGCCGUAAAUUAAAAGUUUUCAAUCCUCUUUUAUAAAAGAUUGAAGUUAAAAAUUUAAACGGUCUCUAAGACAAAUUACGAAUGUAUAAGUUAAUGAGAAAUAUUUAGUUUUUGUGACAAAAUUUUAAAAAUUUUUUUUAUAUUGAUUCAUAAAAAAAAUUUAAAUGAUUUUCUGGAAAUAGCAUAAAUAUAACCCGUACUUUAAACCGACACAGGUAAAUUAGUAGAAUAUACUAAGGCGUUCAAGAUAACUAUGUUGAAGGAACUCGGCAAAAUAGCUCUGUAACUUAGGAAGAAGGAGUGAUAAAAUUAUAUUUUAUUGACACUAAAGAAGGAGAAGCGACUGUUUAAUAAAAACACAUGUCUCUGCUAAUUCGAAAGAAGAUGUAUAGGGGCUGACACCUGCCCGGUGCUGCAAGGCUAAAUGCGAUUGUUUUGGCAAUCAAUUGAAUUCCCAGUAAACGGCGGCUGUAACUCUGACGGUCCAAAGGUAGCGAAAUUCCUUGUCGGGUAAGUUCCGACCCGCACGAAAGGCGUAACGAUCAGGGCGCUGUCUCGGAGAGAGGCUCGGCGAAAUAGAAUUGUCUGUGAAGAUGCGGACUACAUACACCCGGACAGAAAGACCCUAUG
rnacentral:rRNA from 1 species